AAUACGUACUACGACACUUUAGCACGAAUCUGGCUCUGAUCGAUGAGACGCAGCGAAUGCGAUACGUAUGCGAAUGCAGAAUCAGUGAUCAUCAAUCUUGAACGCAAAUGGCACUGUCGGAUAGGCCUGACAGUACGCUCUUCAGAGUCGUUCAACACACCUCGGCGGCAUCUCUUCAUUGAGACUGCGCAGCUGGAGAUUGAGUCGGUCACCGAGUUAACUCUUUGGUGUCCCUUCAAAUGUGGCAAGGCUUCAGUGUAGUGCUCUUCGCGGACAGUAUUCCGAUUGUACUCGCUAGCGACGUGGAUACUCGAUCUCUUUUGGUCUUGAAUCCAAUACGUGGUUAGUGUUUAGGAAAGGAGAAUUGCGCCGUGUGCACCGUCUGUGACUCCUCUCUUUUGAGGACAAACAGGCUGAUUCGCUUGUUUUUGAUUUGCAUUUGUGCGCCUCGUGUGUACAAACUGCCGAUCAAAUCCACACACUUGUGUGUGCUGUUUUCGACUAAGACCUGAAAUGAAGUGAGACUACCCGCUGAACUUAAGCAUAUCAUUAAGCGGAGGAAAAGAAACCAACAGGGAUGCCCUUAGUGACGGCGAGUGAAGCGGCAAAA
rnacentral:rRNA from 1 species